rnacentral:rRNA from 2 species
AACGCUGGCGGCGUGCCUAAUACAUGCAAGUCGAACGAACUCUGGUAUUGAUUGGUGCUUGCAUCAUGAUUUACAUUUGAGUGAGUGGCGAACUGGUGAGUAACACGUGGGAAACCUGCCCAGAAGCGGGGGAUAACACCUGGAAACAGAUGCUAAUACCGCAUAACAACUUGGACCGCAUGGUCCGAGUUUGAAAGAUGGCUUCGGCUAUCACUUUUGGAUGGUCCCGCGGCGUAUUAGCUAGAUGGUGGGGUAACGGCUCACCAUGGCAAUGAUACGUAGCCGACCUGAGAGGGUAAUCGGCCACAUUGGGACUGAGACACGGCCCAAACUCCUACGGGAGGCAGCAGUAGGGAAUCUUCCACAAUGGACGAAAGUCUGAUGGAGCAACGCCGCGUGAGUGAAGAAGGGUUUCGGCUCGUAAAACUCUGUUGUUAAAGAAGAACAUAUCUGAGAGUAACUGUUCAGGUAUUGACGGUAUUUAACCAGAAAGCCACGGCUAACUACGUGCCAGCAGCCGCGGUAAUACGUAGGUGGCAAGCGUUGUCCGGAUUUAUUGGGCGUAAAGCGAGCGCAGGCGGUUUUUUAAGUCUGAUGUGAAAGCCUUCGGCUCAACCGAAGAAGUGCAUCGGAAACUGGGAAACUUGAGUGCAGAAGAGGACAGUGGAACUCCAUGUGUAGCGGUGAAAUGCGUAGAUAUAUGGAAGAACACCAGUGGCGAAGGCGGCUGUCUGGUCUGUAACUGACGCUGAGGCUCGAAAGUAUGGGUAGCAAACAGGAUUAGAUACCCUGGUAGUCCAUACCGUAAACGAUGAAUGCUAAGUGUUGGAGGGUUUCCGCCCUUCAGUGCUGCAGCUAACGCAUUAAGCAUUCCGCCUGGGGAGUACGGCCGCAAGGCUGAAACUCAAAGGAAUUGACGGGGGCCCGCACAAGCGGUGGAGCAUGUGGUUUAAUUCGAAGCUACGCGAAGAACCUUACCAGGUCUUGACAUACUAUGCAAAUCUAAGAGAUUAGACGUUCCCUUCGGGGACAUGGAUACAGGUGGUGCAUGGUUGUCGUCAGCUCGUGUCGUGAGAUGUUGGGUUAAGUCCCGCAACGAGCGCAACCCUUAUUAUCAGUUGCCAGCAUUAAGUUGGGCACUCUGGUGAGACUGCCGGUGACAAACCGGAGGAAGGUGGGGAUGACGUCAAAUCAUCAUGCCCCUUAUGACCUGGGCUACACACGUGCUACAAUGGAUGGUACAACGAGUUGCGAACUCGCGAGAGUAAGCUAAUCUCUUAAAGCCAUUCUCAGUUCGGAUUGUAGGCUGCAACUCGCCUACAUGAAGUCGGAAUCGCUAGUAAUCGCGGAUCAGCAUGCCGCGGUGAAUACGUUCCCGGGCCUUGUACACACCGCCCGUCACACCAUGAGAGUUUGUAACACCCAAAGUCGGUGGGGUAACCUUUUAGGAACCAGCCGCCUAAGGUGGGACAGAUGAU